rnacentral:rRNA from 1 species
UUUGUAUAAUGGGUCAGCGACUUACUUUCAGUAGCAAGCUUAACCAAUAGGGAAGGCGUAGGGAAACCGAGUCUUAAUAGGGCGAAUUAGUUGCUGGGAGUAGACCCGAAACCGGGCGAUCUAUCCAUGGCCAGGUUGAAGGUGGGGUAAUACCUACUGGAGGACCGAACCCACUUAUGUUGAAAAAUGAGGGGAUGAGCUGUGGAUAGGAGUGAAAGGCUAACCAAGCCCGGAGAUAGCUG